GGAACUAGGAAUUCAAAAUUCAUCUACAAGAAUAAGGUACAACAAAAAAGCAAAAAAGGUCAGAUUAUAAUGAUUCGUACAUGUUAAUACAAAACACAUUUUGACAAAUUAAAUUGACCUAUCGAGAUUUUAUUAUCUGUCGAGAAUAACUGAAAAAUAACGAUCGAGAACGAAGUUCAUCUCGACAAAUGAGUCACAUGAUUGAUCUGUCGAGAAUUAGUCAUCUAUCGAGAACUCAUAACUGUUAAGACUUUCAUUUUGACAAAUUAAACAGUUCACUUAAACUAUAGUAAUGUUUAUUUAUGUUAUGUAUUAAGUAUUGGUAAUUAAAAGUGCCUAUUUUCACAUAGUAAAGAAACGAAAAAGUCCAAUUUCUCGGCUUCUAUAAUAAGAGAGAUAAAUAAACACACAUGCACAUACAAAGCACAAAGAUAUGAAACCAUAACCUUGUUGACAUUAAAGCAAUUAACUUUUGGUAAGAAAAUAAGAAAAGGCAAAGGAUUAAAAAAAAAAAAAAUGUGUUGCAGACAUAUAGCUUACAAUUUGAUGUGUAAGAGGUUCUCAAAAGUUGUAAAUGUAUUCCCUCAACAAAUCAGAUGCCAAACCCUGCAAACAACAAAAUAAUAGUUAGCUUAACAUGUAAAGUAGAAAAGCCAAUAUUUUCAUACCAUCAAAGAGAAUUUUGUAAAAGAUAUUUGAGGUUGAACAUGACUAGCUAUCCACUAAGCUGAUAUAGAGCAUUUGCGUGGAUUGUAAAUUAUUAUGAUAAGCACC
rnacentral:lncRNA from 1 species